rnacentral:rRNA from 1 species
CAAUAGCGUAUAUUUAAGUUGUUGCAGUUAAAAAGCUCGUAGUUGGAUUUCGGGUGGGACGCAGCGGUCUCGCAUUGCGUUUGUACUGCUGCAGCCCUCCUUCUUGCCGGGGGCGGCCUCUCGGACUUCACUGUCUGGGGGUCAGAAUCGGCGAUGUUACUUUGAAUAAAUUAGAGUGUUCAAAGCAAGCUUACGCUCUGAAUAUAAUAGCAUGGGAUAACACGACAGGACUCUGGCCUAUCGUGUUGGUCUAUAGGACCAGAGUAAUGAUUAAGAGGGACAGUCGGGGGCAUUCGUAUUCCGUUGUCAGAGGUGAAAUUCUUGGAUUUACGGAAGACGAACAUCUGCGAAAGCAUUUGCCAAGGAUGUUUUCAUUGA